rnacentral:rRNA from 1 species
UACGUAGGGAGCAAGCGUUAUCCGGAUUUAUUGGGUGUAAAGGGUGCGUAGACGGGUUAUUAAGUUAGUUGUGAAAUCCCCAGGCUCAACUUGGGGACUGCAACUAAAACUGGUAAUCUUGAGUGCUGGAGGGGAAAGCGGAAUUCCUAGUGUAGCGGUGAAAUGCGUAGAUAUUAGGAGGAACACCAGUGGCGAAGGCGGCUUUCUGGACAGUAACUGACGUUGAGGCACGAAAGUGUGGGGAGCAAAC